rnacentral:sRNA from 1 species
GAAGGAUGAGAAGCUUCGACCAAGGUUCGACUCGAGCGAAGCGAGAGAACGUUGCCGCAGGCAAUGGCCCGAAGGCGAGGCGCUUUAGCGCCGAGUAAUCCUUACCCCACCACUG